UACGUAGGCGGAAAAUUAAGUCAGUGGUGAAAUCCUGCAGCUUAACUGUAGAACUGUCAUUGAUACUGGUUUUCUUGAAUACAGUUGAGGUAGGCGGAAUGUGUAAUGUAGCGGUGAAAUGCUUAGAUAUUACACAGAACACCGAUUGCGAAGGCAGCUUACUAAACUAUGAUUGACGCUGAGGUACGAAAGCGUGGGGAGCGAACAGGAUUAGAUACCCUGGUAGUCC
rnacentral:rRNA from 1 species